rnacentral:rRNA from 1 species
AGCGAACGCUGGCGGCAGGCUUAACACAUGCAAGUCGAGCGGGCAUCCUCGUGGUGUCAGCGGCAGACGGGUGAGUAACGCGUGGGAACAUGCCCUUCGGUUCGGAAUAACUCAGGGAAACUUGAGCUAAUACCGGAUACGUGCGAGAGCAGAAAGGUUUACUGCCGAAGGAUCGGCCCGCGUCUGAUUAGCUAGUUGGUGAGGUUACGGCUCACCAAGUCGACGAUCAGUAGCUGGUCUGAGAGGAUGAUCAGCCACACUGGGACUGAGACACGGCCCAGACUCCUACGGGAGGCAGCAGUGGGGAAUAUUGGACAAUGGGGGCAACCCUGAUCCAGCCAUGCCGCGUGAGUGAUGACGGCCUUAGGGUUGUAAAGCUCUUUUCUCCGGGACGAUAAUGACGGUACCGGAGGAAUAAGCCCCGGCUAACUUCGUGCCAGCCGCCGCCGUAA